rnacentral:rRNA from 1 species
UACGUAGGGGGGCAAGCGUUGUCCGGAAUCAUUGGGCGUAAAGAGCGUGUAGGCGGCUCGGUAAGUCCGCUGUGAAAGUCGGGGGCUCAACCCUCGAAUGCCGGUGGAUACUGUCGGGCUAGAGUGCGGAAGAGGCGAGUGGAAUUCCUGGUGUAGCGGUGAAAUGCGCAGAUAUCAGGAGGAACACCAAUUGCGAAGGCAGCUCGCUGGGACGUUACUGACGCUGGAGACGCGAAAGCGUGGGGAGCAAACAGG